rnacentral:sRNA from 1 species
GUGCAGGGAGUAUGUGAGGUGUGUGUGCAAGCAUGCAGUUGUGUGCAGGGGGUGGUGUGUGAGGCGUGCCUGCAGGGAGUGUGUCAUGCCUGGGUGUGUGAGGCAGGCAUGGGGUGUGGAGUGUGUGUUUCAGCUUUUGACCUUUUGGGGUCAGCUCUCUAGGGUGGUGGUCAUCGCUUAAGGUGGACUUGAGAUGUCCCUAGAGGCUCACUCACAGGAUUCCAUGCUGGCUCUUGGGAUGGGCUGUGAGGACAGCAGGUGGGACCUCAGGCCUUUGGCUUCAGGCAGAGCUGGGUUUCCACCUGGGAUCUGCUGUUCCCUUUGCUCCUGGCAGCCUCAGCCUUCUCUAGCACAGUGAGGCCGGUUGGUGAUGGUUGCUGCCCAGAGAGUCAGUGUGAGAGGAGGCUGGUGGCUCCCAGCUGGGUGGCAGUGUGUCUCUAAGCGCAGGUGCUGGUUGCCUAGUGGUGUCGCCCCCUGACCUGCUUGUGCUUUUCUGUUCCUGCAGGCCUCUCCUGGGUUGAGCAACGAGAAGGGCACGGAUGCCGUGUCACCUUGGAAGUCCAGCGCAGUGCCCACUAAACACGCCAAGGUCUUGUUCCGAGCGAGUGGCGGCAAGCCCAUCGCCGUGCUCUGCCUGACCGUGGAGCUGCAGCCCCACGUGGUGGACCAGGUCUUCCGCUUCUAUCACCCGGAGCUCUCCUUCCUGAAGAAGGCCAUCCGCCUGCCGCCCUGGCACACACUUCCAGGUGCUCGGGUGGGAAUGCUUGGUGAGGACCCCCC